GCGAGGGUGGCGGAAUUGGUAGACGCACUGGAUUUAGGUUCCAGCGGGGCAACCUGUGCGGGUUCGAGUCCCGCCUCUCGCACCA
rnacentral:tRNA from 1 species